UAGCCGAGUGGUUAAGGCUAUGGAUCGCCAAUCCGGAGACGGCGGGUUCGAUUCCCGU
rfam:Aedes albopictus isolate Foshan contig10629, whole genome shotgun sequence.